AGGANAAGNNGUUUGNNUCCCCUGCUCAGGAGUGAACGCUGGCGGCGUAGCUUAACAUUUGCACGUGGCACGAUGAAGCCCANNAGCUUGUUGGGUGGGUUAGUGUUGAACGGGUGAGUAACACGUGAGUAACCUGCCCUUGACUCUGGGAUAAGCCUGGGAAACUGGGUCUAAUACCGGAUAGGAACGUCCACCGCAUGGUGGGUGUUGGAAAGAUUUAUCGGUCAUGGAUGGACUCGCGGCCUAUCAGCUUGUUGGUGAGGUAAUGGCUCACCAAGGCGACGACGGGUAGCCGGCCUGAGAGGGUGACCGGCCACACUGGGACUGAGACACGGCCCAGACUCCUACGGGAGGCAGCAGUGGGGAAUAUUGCACAAUGGGCGAAAGCCUGAUGCAGCGACGCCGCGUGAGGGAUGACGGCCUUCGGGUUGUAAACCUCUUUCAGUAGGGAAGAAGCGAAAGUGACGGUACCUGCAGAAGAAGCACCGGCUAACUACGUGCCAGCAGCCGCGGUAAUACGUAGGGUGCGAGCGUUAUCCGGAAUUAUUGGGCGUAAAGAGCUCGUAGGCGGUUUGUCGCGUCUGUCGUGAAAGUCCGGGGCUUAACCCCGGAUCUGCGGUGGGUACGGGCAGACUAGAGUGCAGUAGGGGAGACUGGAAUUCCUGGUGUAGCGGUGGAAUGCGCAGAUAUCAGGAGGAACACCGAUGGCGAAGGCAGGUCUCUGGGCUGUAACUGACGCUGAGGAGCGAAAGCAUGGGGAGCGAACAGGAUUAGAUACCCUGGUUUUUUUUCCAUGCCCCCGUUAACNGUUGGGCACUAGGUGUGGGGACCGGGUUCCAUGGUUUCCGCGCCGCAGCUCANAAACGCAAUUAAGAAUGCCGCGGCUAGUGGAGUACGGCCGCAAGGCUAAAACUCAAAUNNGNAAUNNACGGG
rnacentral:rRNA from 1 species